AAAUGAAUUGACGGGGGCCCGCACAAGCGGAGGAACAUGUGGUUUAAUUCGAUGAUACGCGAGGAACCUUACCCGGGAUAGAACGUCUGUUGCAUAAUGGUGAAAGUCAUUAGUCGCAAGACAGCAGGCGAGGUGCUGCAUGGUUGUCGUCAGCUCGUGCCGUGAGGUGUCGGGUUAAGUCCCAUAACGAGCGCAACCCCUGCCAACAGUUGCCAUCAAGUAAAGUUGGGCACUCUGUUGGGACAGCCGGUGUAAACCGCGAGGAAGGCGGGGAUGACGUCAAAUCAGCACGGCCCUUACAUCCGGGGCUACACACGUGUUACAAUGGCCAUUACAGAGGGCAGCAAAAUAGCGAUAUAGAGCGAAUCCUCAAAAAUGGUCCUAGUUCGGAUCGGAGUCUGCAACCCGACUCCGUGAAGCCGGAUUCGCUAGUAAUCGCGCAUCAGCCACGGCGCGGUGAAUACGUUCCCGGGCCUUGUACACACCGCCCGU
rnacentral:rRNA from 1 species